GUGGUACGUAAGCAAUUACGCAGACGCACACUCGAGUAAGUCAACAGGUGAAGUUAGAAGUAUAGCUGAGUGACGAGUGUAAAGGCCUGUUUCUUUAAAUCACAGAAGAGUUCAGACAUGAGUAAUAUAGACCCAUGCAGAAAAAAAACAAAUGAAGAUACUGCAGAACAAAGAGACCUAAUGAAACUUGAAAAAACAUUGGGAUCAAAAAUAUCUUCUGGUUGUUUUCAAAAGCAAAAUAAUUUCCUUCCAAAAAGAAAGCAAAAAAUGGAAUCCCGGAAAUCUUUUACUUGCUUUCGUUGUGGAAAGAGAUUUGGAAGUAAAGGGACCCUUGUGAAGCACAAAAGAACUCACACUAAAGAAAAUCCUUUCACCUGCACUCAGUGUGGAAAAGAAUUCA